rnacentral:rRNA from 1 species
UCCGUAGGCGGGCAAUUAAGUCAGAGGUGAAAUCCCACAGCUCAACUGUGGAACUGCCUUUGAUACUGGUUGUCUUGAGUUAUAGUGAAGUAGAUAGAAUGUGUAGUGUAGCGGUGAAAUGCAUAGAUAUUACACAGAAUACCGAUUGCGAAGGCAGUCUACUAACUAUAUACUGACGCUAAUGGACGAAAGCGUGGGAGCGAACA